GACGAACGCUGGCGGCGUGCUUAACACAUGCAAGUCGAACGGAAAGGCCCUGCUUUUGUGGGGUGCUCGAGUGGCGAACGGGUGAGUAACACGUGAGUAACCCGCCCUUGACUUUGGGAUAACUUCAGGAAACUGGGGCUAAUACCGGAUAGGAGCUCCUGCUGCAUGGUGGGGGUUGGAGAGUUUCGGCGGUUGGGGAUGGACUCGCGGCUUAUCAGCUUGUUGGUGGGGUAGUGGCUUACCAAGGCUUUGACGGGUAGCCGGCCUGAGAGGGUGACCGGCCACAUUGGGACUGAGAUACGGCCCAGACUCCUACGGGAGGCAGCAGUGGGGAAUAUUGCACAAUGGGCGGAAGCCUGAUGCAGCAACGCCGCGUGCGGGAUGACGGCCUUCGGGUUGUAAACCGCUUUCGCCUGUGACGAAGCGUGAGUGACGGUAAUGGGUAAAGAAGCACCGGCUAACUACGUGCCAGCAGCCGCGGUGAUACGUAGGGUGCGAGCGUUGUCCGGAUUUAUUGGGCGUAAAGGGCUCGUAGGUGGUUGAUCGCGUCGGAAGUGUAAUCUUGGGGCUUAACCCUGAGCGUGCUUUCGAUACGGGUUGACUUGAGGAAGGUAGGGGAGAAUGGAAUUCCUGGUGGAGCGGUGGAAUGCGCAGAUAUCAGGAGGAACACCAGUGGCGAAGGCGGUUCUCUGGGCCUUUCCUGACGCUGAGGAGCGAAAGCGUGGGGAGCGAACAGGCUUAGAUACCCUGGUAGUCCACGCUGUAAACGGUGGGUACUAGGUGUGGGGUCCAUUCCACGGGUUCCGUGCCGUAGCUAACGCUUUAAGUACCCCGCCUGGGGAGUACGGCCGCAAGGCUAAAACUCAAAGGAAUUGACGGGGCCCCGCACAAGCGGCGGAGCAUGCGGAUUAAUUCGAUGCAACGCGUAGAACCUUACCUGGGUUUGACAUGGAUCGGGAGCGCUCAGAGAUGGGUGUGCCUCUUUUGGGGUCGGUUCACAGGUGGUGCGUGGCUGUCGUCAGCUCGUGUCGUGAGAUGUUGGGUUAAGUCCCGCAACGAGCGCAACCCUUGUUCACUGUUGCCAGCACGUUAUGGUGGGGACUCAGUGGAGACCGCCGGGGUCAACUCGGAGGAAGGUGGGGAUGACGUCAAGUCAUCAUGCCCCUUAUGUCCAGGGCUUCACGCAUGCUACAAUGGCUGGUACAGAGAGUGGCGAGCCUGUGAGGGUGAGCGAAUCUCGGAAAGCCGGUCUCAGUUCGGAUUGGGGUCUGCAACUCGACCUCAUGAAGUCGGAGUCGCUAGUAAUCGCAGAUCAGCAACGCUGCGGUGAAUACGUUCCCGGGGCU
rnacentral:rRNA from 1 species